CUGCCCAAACACAGAGACCAGCUGGUUGCUGGUACAUUGCGUGUGGACAUUUGUUUUGAGACUACCAAGUGGCAGAUUCCUUGGUGGGUGCUUGGUUUCUGUUUCCAUUUAGCCUUCCAAAGAAGCCCGAGGCAAUUGAAGCUUAGAGAAGCUAAGUAACCGGCUCAGGAAUAGUCUUCUGGCCAAUGAAGACUGCAGGGUUGUCUCCCAGCUGUUUCGAUUUCAACCCUAACUGCUCAUUCAAGACUCUCAUAGUAUCUUGAGGUGUAUUCUCCAACCCGGGGUUAGCAGCUGUGGAGAGCAGAGCUGGGGUGACUUGGAUCCGUCCCUGGGAAAAGCAGCUCUAUGUUGCAAAGGCACCCAGACCACCUAUUGGAGAGGCCCACAUUGUGAGGAACUACAAUGUGGUCAGUCUCCACCUGAAGAACUGGUGUCUUCUAACAACCACGAGGAAGUAAAAACCCGGGGAUGAAGUAUGACUCCCAGACUGAGUGAAGCUGGAGAAGAAGCCCGUGCACAGAGUUCAGGUGUGUGCUAUUUUUACAUUUUUAAAAUUUUUGUUGUGGAAGGGAGGAGGGAGAAGUGGGUUUGUUUUGGACACUCGUCUGUCUCAGCUGUUCUGAGGGGAAAUGGAGAAAGUGACUGGACUGGAAGAUGCAUAGAGAAUGCAGUCAAGAGAUGACAGCUUGGGCCUUGGAUACGAGCCUGUCUGAGUUUGAUGUCAGUUCUGUGACUGUUAGUUUCUGUCUCGGUUUCACCAUCAGUAAAAUGGGGGUAAGAAGAGCAUCCACGGCAACGCGUGACUUGGAAGACAGAAUGUGACGGUGCCUGUGGAGUUUUUAGCACCAGGGCUGGUACGCCGACGGAGGACAGAGCCAGGGCUUCCAGGCAUGGGGGUGGCGUAGCGUCCAUAGAUGGUAGGGGCAUGAGGAGGGAAGGGAGGGUCCAGCUCUGAGAGUCACAAGAGGCCAGUGAACCCAGGAGCACCUGAGAACUUCCUUCUAGGGUGCAACCUGCUCACCUGGGAGAGUUCUUUGCUGUCUUCCAUGCAGAAGGCCGUCGUUGCCUUGAGGGGACUCAAUCACACUUUUAUGUACUUGAUGAGAAGGAUGAUGGGGAUGGUGGAGGGCCAAUGACCUUGGGGUCCCUUCCAAGUGUGAUUCAUGAACAGAGAAGAGAGCAUGAACGGCCUCCAGAAGAGGCACAGCGUCUGAAUGAGCAAGCCCAAGGAAAGUCCCUGGUGUCCAGGGACCCUGACGAUGCCCCCUGGUCCUCCACAUCCCCACCACACUCCCCCCAAUAGGAAGACCCUGGAAAUGAUGCCAUUUGGGGUUCAAAGCAGGCCCGGCCACACAGGUCUUAGCAAAGAGGAGGUAGCCAGGCAGAGGUUACCAGGGUAGGUUUGGGAGGGGUUCUGCCACUUAUUAGCUGUGUGGCCUUGGGAAAAUGACUUACCUCUCUGAUUCUCAGUUUUCUUAUCUGGAAAAUGAUCAUACUUACUAAGUGGACUUUUUUUUUUUUUUUA